rnacentral:rRNA from 1 species
UACGUAGGGUGCAAGCGUUGUCCGGAAUUAUUGGGCGUAAAGAGCUCGUAGGCGGUUUGUCGCGUCUGCUGUGAAAACUCGGGGCUUAACUCCGGGCCUGCAGUGGGUACGGGCAGACUAGAGUGCGGUAGGGGAGACUGGAAUUCCUGGUGUAGCGGUGAAAUGCGCAGAUAUCAGGAGGAACACCGUAGCGAAGGCGGGCACUCGGUCGGCAAUACUGACUGAGGAGCGAAAGCGUGGGGAGCGAACAGG